rnacentral:rRNA from 1 species
GACGGAGGAUGCAAGUGUUAUCCGGAAUCACUGGGCGUAAAGCGUCUGUAGGUGGUCAAAUAAGUCAACUGUUAAAUCUUGAGGCUCAACCUCAAAAUCGCAGUCGAAACUAUUCGACUAGAGUAUAGUAGGGGUAAAGGGAAUUUCCAGUGGAGCGGUGAAAUGCGUAGAGAUUGGGAAGAACACCGGUGGCGAAAGCGCUCUGCUGGGCCGCAACUGACACUAAUGGACGAAAGCUAGGGGAGCGAAUGGG